rnacentral:rRNA from 1 species
UACGUAGGGGGCAAGCGUUGUCCGGAAUCAUUGGGCGUAAAGCGCGUGUAGGCGGCUCGGUAAGUCUGCUGUGAAAGUCCAGGGCUCAACCCUGGGAUGCCGUCGAUACUGCCGGACUAGAGUCCGGAAGAGGCGAGUGGAAUUCCCGGUGUAGCGGUGAAAUGCGCAGAUAUCGGGAGGAACACCAAUGGCGAAGGCAGC